UUUACGUGGUGCGUCGUAUUGUUUUGAAACUUAUUAUUCUGCCUGUGUACACCACCAAAAUAAGGGUUAUUCCAGAGGUUAAAAAACUUUAAGGGCAACGGGAGGUUUUCUUUUUGCUAAUUAAAAAAAAUUGUUCCAAAAGAAAGUUCUUGGUGGCGUAGUAAGUGUAAAAUUGCUAAGUUAAAAAAAACAUUGCAACGAGCCCUUUGAGCUAAGACUCAAGAAAUUCAGAUUUCUGGACAAAUUGUUUUUAAAAUAUCUUGGGACAUUCGGAUAAUAAUAUGACUGAUAUCUUUUCUCCUUUUAUCUAUUUUUAUGCCUUAUUUUCUACUAGCUUCCGCCCGCGGCCUCGCCUGCGUAGAGUUCGGCUGUAUCAGGUUUCCAAGAGAAUUCUUCAAAAGUCCGGGAUAAAAACUAUCCUAUCUUCUUUCUCAAGGUCAACUCUAUCUCUGUACCAAAUUUUAUUAAAAUCAGUUCAGUGGCUUAGACGUGAAAGCGUAACAGACAGACAGACAGAGUUACCCUAUAAAUACUCUAGAUAAAAACUCUUUUUGUAUCUCGGCUGUAUAGGAAAAUAUGUCAUUGUAUUGUAAUGGUUUUUCAAAUCAUGUCAGUUUCCAUUAGCAGGUUUUUUUAAAUAACUCAUGCAGAAAGUUUUUUUUUAUCUAGAUGGGUCUUUAGGUUGAUGGAAAAAUUGUAAUAAUUUCACUAUGCACGGUUUGUGCUAUGUUGACGUGUUGUCUGUUGUUCACAAUAAUGACCAUGCUGGUCAUAGGAAUGGGCAUAGGCUACCAUUACUGUUUUGUGCAAACCUCCGUGGAUGCUAUGGCAAAGGCUGC